GAUUAACGCUGGCGGCGUGCAUAACACAUGCAAGUCGAACGAUGAAACUCAUUAGAUUUCUUCGGAAUGAAACUGAAUGGAUUAGUGGCGAACGGGUGAGUAACGCGUGAGUAACCUGCCUUACACAAGGGGAUAGCCUCUGGAAACGGAGAAUAAUACCCUAUGAAACCAGACAAUCGCAUGAUAAUCUGGUCAAAAUGUUUAGUGGUGUAAGAUGGACUUGCGUCUGAUUAGCUAGUUGGUGAGAUAAAAGCCCACCAAGGCAACGAUCAGUAGCCGGCUUGAGAGAGUGUACGGCCACAUUGGGACUGAGACACGGCCCAGACUCCUACGGGAGGCAGCAGUGGGGAAUUUUGCACAAUGGGGGAAACCCUGAUGCAGCGACGCCGCGUGAUUUAGAAGGCCUUCGGGUUGUAAAAAUCUUUUGUAUAGGAAGAAAAUGACAGUACUAUACGAAUAAGGUCCGGCUAAUUACGUG
rnacentral:rRNA from 1 species